UGGGGAAUAUUGCACAAUGGGCGCAAGCCUGAUGCAGCCAUGCCGCGAGUAUGAAGAAGGCCUUCGGGUUGUAAAGUACUUUCAGCGGGGAGGAAGGGAGUAAAGUUACUACCUUUGCUCAUUGACGUUACCCGCAGAAGAAGCACCGGCUAACUCCGUGCCAGCAGCCGCGGUAAUACGGAGGGUGCAAGCGUUAAUCGGAAUUACUGGGCGUAAAGCGCACGCAGGCGGUUUGUUAAGUCAGAUGUGAAAUCCCCGGGCUCAACCUGGGAACUGCAUCUGAUACUGGCAAGCUUGAGUCUCGUAGAGGGGGGUAGAAUUCCAGGUGUAGCGGUGAAAUGCGUAGAGAUCUGGAGGAAUACCGGUGGCGAAGGCGGCCCCCUGGACGAAGACUGACGCUCAGGUGCGAAAGCGUGGGGAGCAAACA
rnacentral:rRNA from 1 species